rnacentral:rRNA from 1 species
GAUGAACGCUGGCGGCGUGCCUAAUACAUGCAAGUCGAGCGAACAGAUGAGGAGCUUGCUCCUCUGACGUUAGCGGCGGACGGGUGAGUAACACGUGGAUAACCUACCUAUAAGACUGGGAUAACUUCGGGAAACCGGAGCUAAUACCGGAUAAUAUAUUGAACCGCAUGGUUCAAUAGUGAAAGACGGUUUUGCUGUCACUUAUAGAUGGAUCCGCGCCGCAUUAGCUAGUUGGUAAGGUAACGGCUUACCAAGGCAACGAUGCGUAGCCGACCUGAGAGGGUGAUCGGCCAAACUGGAACUGAGACACGGUCCAGACUCCUACGGGAGGCAGCAGUAGGGAAUCUUCCGCAAUGGGCGAAAGCCUGACGGAGCAACGCCGCGUGAGUGAUGAAGGUCUUCGGAUCGUAAAACUCUGUUAUUAGGGAAGAACAAAUGUGUAAGUAACUAUGCACGUCUGGACGGUACCUAAUCAGAAAGCCACGGCUAACUACGU